rnacentral:piRNA from 1 species
UGAGUUUUGCCUUGGCUUCCCUUG